ACCUCCUUCUACUUGAUAAUUAACCAAAAAUUAAAUUUUCCUUUAAAUUUAAAUUUAAUAAAAUUUAUGUCAUUAAAAGAUUAGCUUAAAGAUGUACUUACUUCCAAAAUUUCUUAAUAAUUUAUUUAGGAAGCAUUGAGAAAUGCCUUUUCAAAGGUAGGUGAUCUUAGCUAUUAAGGCAGUUGACCUUUGCCCAUUCAAAAUUCUACCAAAAUCUCGUCCUUACUCCAAAUCAAGCAAUUCUUAUUUUUUUGGAAAGCUAACACUAAAAGCUACAACUUAAAAAAAAUCAUUGAAAUUCAUUGAAAUUCAAAAAAUUGAAUGACUAAUUGAGGUAAAUCUGAGGCUUUUGAAUCUUUGGGAUAUUUGGAAGACACAGGAAGCCACUCUUAUACAAUUGAAUGGUGGCUUGUGAGAGGGCAACCACAUCUCCAUCCUUGAUCUCUAAGAUCCCUAAUAUAGAUCUAUGGCCUUCAUUCAUCUAAAAGCCAAU
rnacentral:lncRNA from 1 species